rnacentral:rRNA from 1 species
UACGUAGGGUGCGAGCGUUAAUCGGAAUUACUGGGCGUAAAGCGUGCGCAGGCGGUUUUGUAAGCCAGGUGUGAAAUCCCCGGGCUCAACCUGGGAAUGGCAUUUGGGACUGCAAGGCUGGAGUGCGGCAGAGGAGACUGGAAUUCCUGGUGUAGCAGUGAAAUGCGUAGAUAUCAGGGGGAACACCGAUGGCGAAGGCAGGUCUCUGGGCUGACACUGACGCUCAUGCACGAAAGCGUGGGGAGCAAACAGG